GCGAGUGAAGCGGCAACAGCUCAAAUUUGAAAUCUGGCGCAAGCCCGAGUUGUAAUUUGUAGAGGGUGCUUCUGGGUAGCGACCGAUCUAAGUUCCUUGGAACAGGACGUCAUAGAGGGUGAGAAUCCCGUAUGUGACCGGCCCGCACCCUUUACGUAGCUCCUUCGACGAGUCGAGUUGUUUGGGAAUGCAGCUCUAAAUGGGAGGUAAAUUUCUUCUAAAGCUAAAUACCGGCCAGAGACCGAUAGCGCACAAGUAGAGUGAUCGAAAGAUGAAAAGUACUUUGGAAAGAGAGUUAAAAAGCACGUGAAAUUGUUGAAAGGGAAGCGCCUGCAACCAGACUUCGCGGCAGUGUUCCGCCGGUCUUCUGACCGGUUCAUUCUCUGUCGCGAGGCCAUCAUCGUCUGGGCCCGCCGGAUAAGACCUGAGGAAUGUGGCUCCCCCUCGGGGGAGUGUUAUAGCCUCUGGUGAUGCGGCGUGGCUCGGGCGAGGUCCGCGCUUCGGCAAGGAUGAUGGCGUAAUGGUUGUCGGCGGCCCGUCUUGAAACACGGACCAAGGAGUCUAACAUCUAUGCGAGUGUUCGGGUGUCAAACCCCUACGCGUAAUGAAAGUGAACGGAGGUGGGAACCGCAAGGUGCACCAUCGACCGAUCCUGAUGUCCUUGGAUGGAUUUGAGUAAGAGCAUAGCUGUUGGGACCCGAAAGAUGGUGAACUAUGCCUGAAUAGGGCGAAGCCUGAGGAAACUCUGGUGGAGGCUCGCAGCGGUUCUGACGUGCAAAUACGAUCGUC
rnacentral:rRNA from 1 species